rnacentral:rRNA from 1 species
AACGAACGCUGGCGGCGUGCUUAACACAUGCAAGUUGAACGAGAGGCAGUAGCAAUACUGUAGUAAAGUAGCAGACGGGUGAGUAACACGUGGGAAACUUCCUUUUAGUAAAGAAUAGCCCAGGGAAACUUGGAUUAAUACUUUAUACGCCCUACGGGGGAAAGAUUUAUCGCUAAAAGAUGUGCCCGCGUUAGAUUAGGUAGUUGGUGGGGUAAUGGCCUACCAAGCCUACGAUCUAUAGCUGGUCUGAGAGGAUGAUCAGCCACACUGGGACUGAGACACGGCCCAGACUCCUACGGGAGGCAGCAGUGGGGAAUAUUGGACAAUGGGCGCAAGCCUGAUCCAGCAACGCCGCGUGAAUGAUGAAGGCCUUCGGGUCGUAAGUUACUUUUGUAAGGGAAGGAAAAUAGACGGUACCUUAAGAAUAAGACUCCGGCUAACUUCGUGCCAGCAG